rnacentral:rRNA from 1 species
GAUCAUGGCUCAGGACGAACGCUGGCGGCGUGCUUAACACAUGCAAGUCGAACGAGAAUCUGCUGAAAGAGUCUUCGGACAAUGGAUGUAGAGGAAAGUGGCGGACGGGUGAGUAACGCGUGAGGAACCUGCCUUGAAGAGGGGGACAACAGUUGGAAACGACUGCUAAUACCGCAUGAUGCAUAAGGGUCGCAUGAUUCUUAUGCCAAAGAUUUAUCGCUUCAAGAUGG